UUAGCUUGGGAAUCUGGCUUAUGGAGGGGGAUAACUACGGGAAACUGUAGCUAAUACCGCGUAGAAUCGGAAGAUGAAAGUGCGGGACCGCAAGGCCGCAUGCCAUGAGAUGAGCCCAAGUGGGAUUAGGUAGUUGGUGGGGUAAAGGCCUACCAAGCCUGCGAUCUCUAGCUGGUCUGAGAGGAUGGCCAGCCACACUGGAACUGAGACACGGUCCAG
rnacentral:rRNA from 1 species